CAACCUACCUUAAUCAGGGGGAUAGCCCGGAGAAAUCCGGAUUAAUACCGCAUAAAAUCACAGCACUGCAUAGUGCAAUGAUCAAACAUUUAUGGGAUUGAGAUGGGCAUGCGUGUCAUUAGCUAGUUGGCGGGGUAACGGCCCACCAAGGCGACGAUGACUAGGGGAUCUGAGAGGAUGGCCC
rnacentral:rRNA from 1 species